AAGACUAGACUUUCAGGGGUCAUUUCUAUAGUUUGCUACUAGAGAACGUGUAGAGAACCUGAAACCAUGAGGAGGGCGCACUGUCCCUUCCUGAGCAUGAAGCUGACUCCACUGGGAGUUUUUUUUGCAGUUGCCCUUUGUCAUUGAUGAUCAUUCUUCUCCUUCGGAGAAGCUAGAGGGAAGGCAUGCUGUCUGAGUAAA
ensembl:snoRNA U3 Small nucleolar RNA U3